ncrna:Branchiostoma floridae (Florida lancelet) microRNA bfl-mir-153 precursor
UGGCUGCCAUUUUUGCGACCUUGCAACUGUUCGAUGACCUCUGGUUGCAUAGUCUCAGAAGUGACAUCCUU